UCUCUCUCUUCGAUGGGCCGACGUUAGCAGCAGCAGACGACGAGAAACCAACCCUAACGUGAAGGUGACACCUGAAACGCUAAUCCAUAAAACCCUUACGCCUACCCAAAUCAAGAAAAGCGCAUGGUGUCGCUGAGUCGGGCGGCCUGGAGGGCUCUGGGCCGCUCCCGACGACCAUGGCCGAGGCGACGACCGAGGUCUACCGCCACGGGAGGGAUGCCGGAGCCGAGGUCUGGGAGCCCGUCAGAGAGUGCCGAUGUCUCGUUUUUAAGUUCGCCACUAAUAGUGUUCCAAAAAUGACGUUUUGUGUCCCAAACGCACCUUUAUUGUGCGGAAUUGGACAGGGAUGGGAGAGGGCGAGCCGGCUUAAGUAUAGACUACCAUGGCUAGUUUUCUUGGAUCUUUGGUGACUCUAUUAGGUCAGGUGGCAGAUUGGCUGCGAUCAGCUUCCAAUUCGAUUUCCAGUCAGUAGCCGAAGAAUUGAGGGUUUGAGAUAUAAUUCUGUUGAUUAUGAUUCAAUUUGGUUGACUCAGACAAACGUUGAUCGAGAACAUUGUAGAUAUACAGGUUGAGACAGGGCUAUAGGUGCUGCUUGUGCUUUAGGUGCUCUCGAUGGUUGAUUGAGAUUUUGACUUGGAGACAAUUCGCCGCAAGCAGUGAGACAUUUGGCACCAAUAACACUGUUGAAGUUUAUCCGUCUUUUAACGGUAGUCAUCAGCUAUUAUUUUAAUCUUCCAAGAGUGGAAUUUUCUCAUGUUUGGAAGGCAAUCGACAAGAUCAAGACGAAUUGGGACAGCUGGAGGAUAUCGCUACAUUUUGGUACUCAGAGCAUUAGUAAUGACAAGUCUUACACAUCUCUAAAGGCUAUAGAUCCCAAACAAGAUCUGGUCAUGUAAUUGUAGUGCCUUUUGGACCAUAUUAUCUAAGCUAUUACCAGUGUUUUUUCUGUCA